UCCCUCUAAAAGCACUCUGUGUGGGGAACAUGAGAGCCAGACCAAAGCUCAGAGGAACCCACCUGGACCUCCACCCAGCUCUAUGUCCUGUAAGAGUGACAUGUCUGCAGGUCGCCUCAUUGAGUUUAAAGUCUCUGCUGCAGAGAGAGGUCAGAGGUCACAGUCUGCAGGAUCCAGCUGUCCGUCUGUGAGGAGUGAACGGUCCAAAGGUCAUCCUCCAGAGUUCAGUGCUGAACCUGGACCAAUGAGGUCAGAGAGCUGUGAUGACUCCUUUACAUGUUUGUGUUUUCCUGGAUAAAUCUGACCUGAAACAUCCUCAGAUUGUUACAAAGAUUCAUUAAAAAGAAAACAAUGAAAGAGAAAAGAUCCAA